CCUGGAGAAUCCCUAUGGACAGAGGAGCCUGGCUGGCUAUAGUCCAUAGGGUCGCAGAGUCUGACACAACUGAAGCAGCUUAGCACACAUGCAUCCUUUUUCUUGCAUGGUCUGUGUGGCUGCAUGGUCUUCCUUCUACACAGGCAACAUUUAUUUUGCAUAAUACCAUUCUUUGUUGGACAGUGAAAUUGCUUAUGAUUUUUAGUACUGUAAGAAUAAUAUCAAUUCCAUUCCCAGGUAUGUAGUCAAAAGAAAUGUAAACAUGUCCAUGCAGAAACUUCUAUGUAAAUGUUCAUAAGGGCAUUAUUCAUAAUGACGGAAAAGGGAGACCACACAGACAAUACACACAGCUGCUGAAUGCAUGGUCAAAUGUCUAUACAAUGAAAUGACACUUGGCCGUAAGGAGGUACUGAUAUAUGGUGUAACGCGGAUGACCGUUGUGAACAAUGUGCAGUCUUGUGUGGCUGGCUGCUUUUACUUAGCAUAAUGAUUCUAUUUAUAUGAAAUGUUCAGAAUAGGCAAAUCUAUAGACAAAAGAGUAGAUUGUGCAGCUGCUAAGUGGCUUCAGUCAUGUCCGUCUCAUUGUGACCCUCUGGACCAUGGCUCACCAGGAUCCUCUGUCCAUCCUGUGUCCUCCAGGCACAAAUACUGGAGUGGGCUGCCAUGUCUUCCUCCAGGGUAUCUUCCUGACCCAGGGAUCAAACUCAUGUCUCUUACCUCUCCUGCAUUAGCAGGCGGAUUCUUUGCCACUAGUGCCACCUGGGAAGCCUCAGAAAGUAGAUUAGUGGUUGCUUAAGAUUAAGAAUGCAGAUGUGAUUGGGAAAUGAUGAGUAAAAGUUUUGGGGUUUCUUUUUGAUGAAAAUAUUUUACAGUUGAUUGGGGUGAUAGUUGCAAACUCUUAAGUUACUAAAAGCUAUUGAAUGGUACACAUUAAAUGGGUGAAUUAUCUGAGAUGUGAAUUAUAUAUCAAGAAAGCUGUUACCAAAAAAAUGAAGGGAAAGAACAAAAAGAACAAUUAACAUCUUCGAGUGUAACCUUUUCUGGGUUAUUUGCAUUUUUAUGGCUUUUGAUGAAUACCAGUUUGCCAAAGUGCUUGGCAGAAGAGUUGACUCAAUUAAAAUGUAACCUGGAGUAUUUAAGAGCUCUCACUUCAUUACAUACUUAGCCUUUGUGAAGCUUAGUUUUAAUAAAACUGUCUUAUUGUCUGUGAGAUUGCCGGUGACAGUUUAAAUACUAUAAAUAUAGUUAAAAGUAAUUAAUUGGUAAGUAAGGAACUUGUUCCAGUUGUUCUAACAAAAAAUAUGGACAUUCUUUUUCUUCAUUAUGCAUUCAUAAGAAUUUACAUUUAAUCACCAUCACUUUUUUUAUUAAUAACUAAUAUUUUUAAAAAUGAAUUGCAGUUAUAACAAAUGAAAAGUCUUUGAAAUUCUGUGAGAAAAUAAGGCAUAUAAAGAAAACUUUAAUACUACUGUAUUGAUAGGGAAUUCAUAUUUUUUCAUUUAAAAAAUUUUAGGAAUAUUUUAUCCCAAAUAAUGAACUACCUUUCUGCACAUGGUGUGUGUGUGCUCAGUCGCAUCCAACUCUUUGCGACCCCAUGGACUGUAGCCCACCAGGCUCCUCUGUCCAUGAGAUUUUCCAGGCAAGAAUACUGGAAUGGGUUCCAUUUCCUUCUCUAAGGGAUCUUCCCCACCCAGGAUCAAACUCAAGUCUCCUGCAUUAGCAGGCAGAUUCUUUACCAUUGAGCCACCUGGGAAGCUUCUGCAUGGUAAGUACUAAUAAAUAAAAUAUAUUGAUUACUUGCUAUGUACCAGACAUUGCACUGAGCACUUUUAUUGCAUUCUCUUGUGUUUAUUCCUACAGCACUCCUCUACCAUAGGUAUUUUUGUCAUCCCCAUUUUUCAGAAGAUAAAGAAGUAAAGUGAAAAACAACAACAAUAAUAAAAUAAGAGAUCCUCGGAGGAGCUCCUUGGAAGAAUUAUUUCCUGGGGUGAAGUAUCCUGGCCAGAGCAACACCACUCCAUGUUGUAUUUGCUGAAUUGGAGGUAGACCAGAUGGAAAGGAAGCAAAUGGCCCCAAACUCAUAGUUCCCCAACCAGGGAUUGAACUGGGUUGAACUACCUUCUGCACUGGGAAUUCAGUCUUAAACACUGGACCACCAGGUAGGGAGCCUUCGGGGUCCUCAUUAUUCUAGCCUCAUGCCCUAUUGACCCUCAACGUCCGGCUUCUUUGAUGCUCGUCAAGCUGAGCUUCAGCACGCUGCUUGCAUCGCACAGGAAGCCUGCAGACGUUAGCACAUUCCACAGGAUGCAUGCUUCCUUCCUUAAGUGCUCUGAAAACGGAGGCUGAUAAGUACACCAUUGUCUCCAUGAGGGAUCUCUGCUGAUGGGAACAGAAAUUCCCUCAACUCAGCAUUUUAAGUAGAGGUGGAAAGGCUAUUUAUUGAAGGAUACCUAUACUUUGAAGAAUACAGAGUCCUGCUUCACAGGAAUGAGAAAGUCAUCCAAUAGCUUCUGGGAUCAGAUGGUCUCUCACCUUGGUCUCUCAAGUCCAAAUUUGGGCUGAACAGUUAGUCCUGAGAUGAUGAGAGUUAAACAUCUCGUUAGUCGCAGAAUAUCAUCUGACCAAAUACCAUAACUGGUACCAGGGGAUGAUCCCUCAAAGGAAUUAGGUCAGCUGCUCCCCUGACCAAAUAAUUAAUGCCUAUUGCUUUCAUGCACUCAUGUUCAAGAAUUGGCAGCUGUAGAUGCUUGUGAAUUGGUAUCAGCUUCUGGACAUGUGGUACAUUUAAACCCUGGCUUAUUUCUUAUUUUGGACACUGCUCUUUCAUAUCUCCUUUUGAAAUCUCUCAUGUUUUCCGUCGUGUUCUCUUAAAUUACCCAUAGAUAUCAUUUAUAAACACAUGAGUAUAUAUUACAAAUUUACCCUACAGCGGGAGUAGAUUGAGGUUUCUGUGUGUUUGAAAUCUAUACAGUUUUAGAAGCUCUUUUGAAGCAAAAUAAGAAUAUAAAUGUAUUAUCAAAAUUAGGUAUGAAAUUAAUUCUCCAUUUCAAAUGACGAAAGGAACACAACAGAAAUCUUUUAAAUGAAUGGUGCUUACAUUUCAUUGGGCAUAAAAUGCAGUAUUUUUAUUAAAAUACAGAUUUCUAGACAAGGAUGCCCACUGUCACUACUUUCAUUCAACAUGGUACUGGGAAUCCUAGCCAGAGCAAUGUACAUUGCAACAAUGUUCACAAUAGCCAGGUAUGGAAACAAGAAUCUAAACAACAGAUAAUGGAUAAAGAAAAUGUGAUACACACACACACACACACACACACACACACACACACACAUAGGAACACUAUUCAGCCUUUUUAAAAAAGAAGGAAAUCCUUCCUUUUGUGACAGCAUGAAUGAACCUGAAGGGAAUUAUGCUAAGUGUUACAAGCCAUGUGUGUGCGCGCUCAGUCAUGUCCGACUCUUUGCGACCCCAUGGACUGUAGCCUGCCAGGCUCCUCUGUCCACGGAAUUUCCCAGGCAAGAACACUGGAGUGGGUUGCCAUUUCCUCCUCCAGGGGAUCUUCACAACCCAGGGAUCAAACCUGCAUCCCCUGCAUUGGCAGGUGGGUUCUUUACCACUGGUGCCACCUGGGAGACCCCUGUGAGGUAACAGAUGUGUUAAUUAACUUGAGUGUAGGAAUCUUUUCACAAUUAAAGUAAAAUCAAAUCACAUUAUUCACUUUUAAUAUAUUGCAACUUUAUUUGUCAAUCAUACCUCAAUUAAGUUAGAACCCCCCCCCCCCCCCCCACACACACACACAUAAAAAAGAUGUUGUAAGAGUGCUACUUACCACACUGAGAGAGAAAAAAAAAAGAAGGCAAAUUCCUGGGUUCACUCCUGACCAACUAAAUCAGAAUUUCUGGGGUAAGGUUCUAAACCUACAUGUUAGCACCUGCAUCCUCUGGUAGUCUGAAGGCCACAUUUUGAAAUGAACCAAGUGACUAUUGUAGUGAAUUAAUAAGAUUUUAAUGAUAUAUUUUUGUGUGUGCAUUUACUGGGAAUUUCAGUUAUUCUUACUGUAUGAAAGACUACAAAUUUUGUAUACAAGGUUUAACCGAAAUAUGUCAUUAACUAAUAUUUUAAUUUAGCUAUUUUGUAACCAGAAAAAAUAAAUCAAUGUAAAGAAGGAAAACCAGAAGCUGACAGAGAUAAUGAAUAUCAUAAUAUUUCACAGGAUAUUUACAUUAUUUGAAAGAGAAAAUGCCCCAAGGAUGUCAUUUUUCCAUAUCAUAAAAUAAGAGUAAACAUAUGAAUACUAAAACUUUUAAAAACUGAGACUCAGUUAAAAAAAAUUCCAAUACUGUGAUGAUUGUACUUUAUCACAUAUGUGUUUCACAAAUUUUUAUAUAUAUGUAUAAUACAUGCACACACACAGCA